CAGAAACUCAACAUUAUACAGACUGUUAGGUUAAAGAGAACAAUGAAGUAAGAUUUUCACACUUCCUAUUGAGGAAGGGUUGAAAUCACAGAAGGUGACUUAAAAAUAGACACAGUAUCUUCUUUAUCCUGAAGAGAAAUAUCAGAGAGGAAUUAUUUACUGCUUUGAUUUUGAAGGAAAGAUAUUAAAAGAGAGAAUGGACUUCUUACAGUGUACGUACCUGAUUAACUUGGGCUGCGAAGGAAUUAACAUCUUACAGAAAAUGAGCCUGAUUAACUUGUGGUGUUGAAUCAGAGGGGGCUGACCUGAAGGAUAGUUGUUAGUCACCCUGUGAAAAGGGUCACAGUUAUGGAAAAGUGAUGGGGAAAGUACUUCUGUGUAUGUUUAUCUUAUUGAUUGUUGAAUAAAAUACUGUUUGGGCCAAUGAAACAGCAAGUUAGACAGGACUAGGAGUCAAAGAGGAUUCUGGGAAACGUAGUAGAGAAGUAGUGUUCCAGGCAGGAAGUGACAUAGCAAGAAGACUCAUAAGCAAGGAGAAAGAGGAAGUGGCCCCUUUCCCCUUCACAUCCUUCAGCGGCAGGAUGUGAGCCACCGGCAAGAGAGGGCACCAGUGAAAGGCAUUCUCUAUAAAGAUAAGUCUUAUAACAUAUAUAGAUUUAUGAUAAUUAAGACUGAGCUAACAGAUGAGAAAUCCUAGGCAUUGGCCAAGCAGCUUUGAACCUAAUACAAGUUUCUGUGUAUUCAUUUGGGCCUAACUCAGGCAGGCGGCUGGCGUAAAGCCCACACGUGGCGGUGGGGCUCAGGCGGCUUUUGGCAGAAAGAUUUAUCGUAACAGAAAAGGAUCGAUGUCUUUUCUGACAAACAUAGAGAAAAAGACUGCAAUCAACACUGGAGACUGCUGUAGAGAGAAGACUGUGAUGAGCUGCCUAGGACCCACUCACCAUGGAAAUCUGGGAGUUGUCUUUUGAAUGGCUUUCUGCUGAUAAUCUGCCUCGUGUUUCUGAAGUUCCCCUAGCGAGGGAGACAUUCAAUUUUGAGUGGAAACAUCUCCAGAUUUUGGUUGGGGGCAUUCACAACAAAUGAGUCCUUGUGUUUGCCUCUGGGGAGGAGGUCCUGAGCAGACAAACCACAGUGUUUGUAAGUAUGUUCUAUAUCUACUGUGACCUCUUCUUUC
rnacentral:lncRNA from 1 species